rnacentral:rRNA from 1 species
GAUUUCUGGACUGAAGCAUUUAGCCGGCCGCGGUUUCGCGUGUUAGUGCUGGAUGCUCUGUCCAUCCUUCCAAUCGCUAUUGGCUAUUCUUCAUUGAAUGGUCAGUAGUAUUGGAUCUUUUACUUUGAAAAAAUUAGAGUGUUUCAAGCAGGCUUUAUGCUAUGAAUACAUUAGCAUGGAAUAAUAAUUUAGGACUUCGGUUCUAUUUUGUUGGUUUCUAGGACUGAAGUAAUGAUUGAUAGGGAUAGUUGGGGGUGCUAGUAUUCAGCGGCCAGAGGUGAAAUUCUCGGAUUCGCUGAAGACUAACUUAUGCGAAAGCAUU